UUGGUGCUUGGAUGCACUCACCUGUCUUGACGCCUCGUCCGAAGAAACAGACCAGCAGACCUGUCGGCUCAGAUUUUGCUCUGGCGCUCCCCUCAUACUUCCUGGAAAUUACCCAGCGAGGGCUGAGAUCCCCCUUUCCCGGGUUCUGUUGGUUCUGUGCUCACUCUGGUCAAUCCAUCUGUCAACCGCUGCCGAUAAGGUCAUCUCGGAUUCCUCACCAGCUACAUCUGCCGCCCUCAGCCACUAGCCACCUAUCUCCAUCAGAGUAGUCACAUAGAGAUCUCCUGACGCUACUUCUUCCCGGUUAGGUCCGCCCUGCCUAAUGUCUCUCCAGCCUUGACGUUCUGACCCAGCCGUGUACCAGUAGUCCGUCCAUAAACCUGCUUAUUUUUCCUUUAAUAAAAGAACUUAAAACUG